UGGGGAAUAUUGCACAAUGGGCGCAAGCCUGAUGCAGCCAUGCCGCGUGUGUGAAGAAGGCCUUCGGGUUGUAAAGCACUUUCAGCGGGGAGGAAGGCGAUAAGGUUAAUAACCUUGUCGAUUGACGUUACCCGCAGAAGAAGCACCGGCUAACUCCGUGCCAGCAGCCGCGGUAAUACGGAGGGUGCAAGCGUUAAUCGGAAUUACUGGGCGUAAAGCGCACGCAGGCGGUCUGUCAAGUCGGAUGUGAAAUCCCCGGGCUCAACCUGGGAACUGCAUUCGAAACUGGCAGGCUAGAGUCUUGUAGAGGGGGGUAGAAUUCCAGGUGUAGCGGUAAAAUGCGUAGAGAUCUGGAGGAAUACCGGUGGCGAAGGCGGCCCCCUGGACAAAGACUGACGCUCAGGUGCGAAAGCGUGGGGAGCAAACAGG
rnacentral:rRNA from 1 species